GUAUAAUAGGUGGCUUACCCUUUUACUUAUAUUUCUGUGUCUUAACCUUUUUUUUUGUAUUAUAGUAUGCCGCUAAAAAGAUCUCGUGGUAGGGAGUCUGUGGAGGAGGAGGGACGGUCCUUGGAUCUGCCGUCCAGGCGAUAUGACCUUCGUGAGAGAGUCAGGGGUAGGUGGGUGAGGAAGGAUGUGGUCGAGUGUUCCUGAAUUAUGUCGGAGACUGGAUCGAGCGAUACGGUUGCUGAUUUUGGUCUUGCAGGGAUAGCUGCUAUGCCAGAGCGGAUUAUCCGGGAGGAUGUGCAGAUAAGGGAUGGGAUGAUGAUCGAUUCGGAUUGUGAGGAUGAUUUUGUGAUCACGGGAGUGAGGACGGUGGAGCAGAAGCUGGCUUCGGAGGGACAUGAAAUCGUGAUGGUCCAUGACUAUGUGAGUGUUUCCUCGAAAAGUUCUGCCUCGCCAUCCUUUGCACUUAGCCUAUAUUCACCAAUAUCCUAUGAGUCAGAUCCGAAGGAGGAUCAGGAUCCACCGAUUUCUCCAUACGUCCCGGAGGCUGUUGAUCACUCUCCCGAUAGCCCUUUUGCACUGUUAUGGGAGGGCACGUCCCCCAUACUCCGUUUCGAGGCUGAUAUGAGGGCUGACGCUAUUCCGACCUUUGAUGGGGGCUUCACAUCGGGUAUCAAGAUACUGUUCUGCUUCAUCUGUGGCGAGGAUGGUCAUUACCCGCAAGACUGUCAGUUCUACACGCAGUACAUCCCAUGGCCAUUGCUUGUCUCUACUGUGGAGAGUAUGAGCAUUAUGCGGCUACCUGUAUGCUGAUGAGAGAUGACGGUCAGAUUCUUGCACCGACGUAUACUUCCCUAUCUCACGUAGCAGGACCAUCAUCCCCAUUGAUUCCCAACACCGAGGAUGAUCUUUUUCUAGGUUGUACCUGUUCGAGGUGUAGCUUAGGGUUACCGUGAUUCCCCUAGGAAUCAUAAACCUUAGUAAAUAUUUGGAAACU
rnacentral:sRNA from 1 species